UGGCUCAGACGGUAAAGCAUCUGCCUGCAAUGCAGGAGACCCGGGUUCAAUUCCUGG
rnacentral:tRNA from 1 species